AAACAGAAAGUACGCAGAUUAUGGAUACACUUCAAGAAUAUAUAUUUGGCACUUUAAAUUUUCGAGUAUGUAACUUCGUACCCGAAGAUAUCAAAUGUUUGUGUAUAGAUUAUGUUUUACAAAGUAAAUCUGGUGAAGAUAUCAUUGUAUAUACAAUACUUCAUAGCGUGGCUAGAAGACUUGGUCUACGUUGCGAUGCAGUGAUACUUAAUUUUCAACAAUGCUGUAUAUUUUGGAAACCAAAGCACGUCACGAAUAAUUUAAAAAUGCAAGAUGUUUUUACAUAAGAGACGAGAAUUUCCCGAACUGUCUUGAUGAUUUUCUACCAAUUUACAAGCGUUAUAAAAAAGAUUGCGUCACCACAAUAAGAACUGCACAGAUUACGCACACAAUAGAAAUUUUAGUUGAAAGGUUUAUAAUAGGACAUAAAAUAAACAAAUUGGACUUAGUCGAAGUGAAUUGUAUAAUGUAAAAACAUACGCGCACUAACAUAAUCGCAUAUUAGUAUAUAACAUGCACCAUUGUAAAAAUAAAGAGCUUUGUGAGAU